CCUUUUCAGUGUUGGAAAGACACUUUCUUGCACUGAGGUCUGCUUAUUGUAAAUAUCCUGUACUUGUUUUUACACCUUUAAAGUUGACCUUUGACCUUUUUAGUGUUGGAAAGACACUUUCUUGCACUGAGGUCUGCUUAUUGUAAAUAUCCUGUACUUCUUUUUACACCUUUUAAUGUUAAAGUUGACCUUUGACCUUUUCAGUGUUGGAAAGACACUUUCUUGCACUGAGGUCUGCUUAUUGCAAAUAUCCUGUACUUGUUUUUACACCUUUAAAGUUGACCUUUGACCUUUUUAGUGUUGGAAAUACACUUUCUUGCACUGAGGUCUGCUUAUUGUAAAUAUCCUGUACUUGUUUUUACACCUUUAAAGUUGACCUUUGACCUUUUUAGUGUUGGAAAGACACUUUCUUGCACUGAGGUCUGCUUAUUGUAAAUAUCCUGUACUUGUUUUUACACCUUUUAAUGUUAAAAUUGACCUUUGACCUUUUCAGUGUUAGAAUUACACUUUCUUGCACUGAGGUCUGCUCAUUGUAAAUAUCCUGUACUUGUUUUUACACCUUUAAACUUGACCUUUAACCUAGGUUUCAAAUAUAGUUUGUCUGUUUCU
ensembl:lncRNA